UCUAAACCCACACGGCCAUUCUAAUUUCACUUCACUUCACAGCUUCACUUCACUUCACUGUUCUCCUUCAACAAACUCAAAACAAGAAUGAAAUCUCACUUCCAUUCCUCACCCCUCCCUUCACUCCGUCGCUUCUACCUCUUAAACGAGAGGCCUCUCCUCACAACCACUACCACCGCCGUCGAAAAUCCAUUCUCCGGCCAACCCAAUUCCACAAGCCUCCGAUUCAACCCAAACCUAACUCCUAAACACUCUUCUGGGCCCACAAGACCGAUCCCAGUUCCGCUUUAGACCUCUUCAAACUCGCUGAAACGAACCCAGGUUUUGUCAACGGCGUCGACACCGCUGCUGCCUUGCUUCACAUCUUAAGGGGCUUUCCAGAGACUCGUGGGCGUGCCAAGACAUUGCUUAACCGCUACGUUUCCGGCCGUCUUUCUCGAUCGUUUGCUGGACUGCGCAAAGAGGUUUGGUUUUGAUCUGGAUUCCAUGGUUUUCAGUUACUUGUUGAAUAGCUAUGUUAGAGCGAAUCGAAUAGGGGAUGCUGUUGAUUGCUUUUAACAGAAUGGUGGAGCUUGAGAUAUAUGCUGGUGUUGAAUAUAUGAACAUUGUGUUGACGCGGCAUUGGUUAGGAGGAAUAUGUUUGAGGAAGCACGAGAGUUGUAUGGUACAAUGCUUGGGAGAGGAGUUGGUGAUUGUGCCACUCUACAUGUCAUGUUGCGUGCUUGUUUGUUUGAAGGAGGGGAAGCCGGAGGUGGCCGAGGAGUACUUUCAGAAGGGGAAGGCAAGGGGGAGAGGGAUAGCAGCUGAUGCGGCAUUGGAUGAUGUGGCAAUUGGGGCUGUUUGUAAGAGUCCUGAUUCGCGUUUGGCUUUGGUGUUGUUGGGUGAAAUGAGAGAAAUGGGGUGGGUUCCUUCCAGGCGUACGUAUACUAGUGUGAAGUUGGAGUCACUCCAACUGUUAUCACUUUCACCAGCCUUAUUAAUGGGUUGUGCAAAAGCAAUAAAAUAGAUCUUGCUUUAGAAAUGUGGCAUGAGAUGAAAAGUAAGGGAAUCAAAAUGGAUGUUACUGCAUAAUCUGCUAUCACUGAUGGGUUUUGCAAAAGGAGAGACAUCAAUAGUGCCCGCAAACUUUUCUCGGAACUUCUGGGAGUUGGUCUAUUUCCAAAUACAGGGUUUUUUGGGUUGUUGGCUUAAUUUUGAGGUGGAGGUGUGUUCAGAAAGGCAGGAGAGCUGCUGUUUCUGGUGUUUGAGGUGUGGCUUCAAACAUCCAAUUCCACAGUUAUUGUUCAUGCUUGCAGACAUAGAUUGCUUCUACAUUCAAGGUUUCACAUGCUACUGUUGUAAGAAAUUGGUCUGCAAGGUCUGGGGAGAAGGAGAAGGUUGAAUCUGUAAAUCAAGAUUAGGUCGCAUUUGAGGUGUUGUCAAUUGUGAAGUUGCUGCUGCUGACAUUCCAAUCAUCUUUCUUAGAUAUCAGGAACAGCGAGCUAUCAAAAUUUGCAAGUAUUUUGAAUUCAGGAAAAUUUGGGUACAGCAAGAAGGAAGAUCUGGAAUUACUAUUAUUUUACAGUAAUCAGGAAAUUGGGAAAAGAGAUGCAAUAGGCAACUGUUUGGAGCAGCAGAUGAAUGACAACCAAAAAGAUGAAAUGAUUUGUGAGAGAAGCAAAAAGAUGAAGUGGUCUGCCACUGAUAUGGUCUGCUCAUUAUUUUGUUUUUGUCUUUUUUAAUUUUUCAUUGUUGUUUAUAGUAUUUAGAAUUUUAGAUUUGAAUAUGCAUUUGUAGCCAAAAUAAUGAACAUCAGUUGUGUUUGUUAAAAUCUGUACAGCGAGUAUGAUUUGAACUUAUUUGUUGUGGUCAAAAUUUUGGGUAACAUGCUUUGAUCCUGUGGCUGAAGAAAUCAAAAGGGGUAUGUAAUCUCCAAGAUUACUGUAAGGACAGCUACACUAGAAUGAGUCUGAGAUUCAAUUAGGACAUAACUUCAAUCUUUGUUAUGACCAAUUGAAUUUCAGGCUCAUUGUUUUGUAUUUGUCUUAGUUGCGGGGAAAGAUUUUGGCUAACAUGCUUUAAUCCAGUAGCUGGAGAAUUCAAAAGGGGUAUCUAAUCUCUAAGAUCAUCAACCAGGUACUAGCACACCAGCUCAUCCACUGUAUGAAAAAAAAAAAAGAUUGGUUGAUAGAAGCAAGAAACAAUUGUUUGCUACCAAUCCAGAGAAAAAACCCAGCUGUGAUACAAAGACAAACAUUGAAUCAGCGGCCUCAUCACCAGACACUCUGAACAAAGAAAAAAUAGAUUGAAGUGUCAUGUCGCUUUUCAUGUAAAUACAAAUGGAGGAAACACCUUUUUGAACAACCUCCACAACUACGUAGCACCUUUUUGGCUAGGCUAACAACUCUUCAACAACUGCUGUCACUUUUGGUAUAAAUGUAACUGGACCAUUUUGGUA